CAAGGGAGAAAAGGAGAAAAUUUGGAAAAAGCAGAUAGGUCAGGAACACCCCUAUAACUCUUUCUUCUUCAUCUUAAUUUAGCCUUAGUUCACUACCCUUUUUCCUCUAUGAAAGCACCCAUAAACCUUCUCUAAAACUACUGCAAUAUUCAGCUGAAACAAACACAUCAGUCUCAAAACAGCCCAUGUUCCAUACGAAAACUCCAUCAAAUAACUUCUAAACUCCACCUCAAAAUAGUCCUUAAACCACCCCCAAAACAACCUCCAAAAUCAGCAAAAAAUCCCGCUAAAAAACUUCAGGAAAGUUGUUGAAAAUAAGUCCAAAAUAACGCGACUGAAAAUUCCAUAAAAAAGCCAGCUUAAAACUCCAUCGUUCGAGGUCUGCGAUCCAGUUUGUUCGAAUUUUCUAGUCAAAUUUUCACCUUUGUAGUCAGCAGAUAUUCAUGUAUUUGAGAAGGUCGGUUCUUUCCGUUUCGUUUGCUACUUUGUUCUAAUUAUUAUGUUGCCUUACUUUGUUCUUUGAAUUAGUGUUUAAUCCAUCUCCAAUGUUUGUUCCUUUAUUUACUGUUAUUGCCUUUGUUUUUUCUUUUCUUUUACGCCUAUGCUUGAUUAUAUUACUAUUUCCUUGAUUUUCUUUAUUAAAUGUUGAUUGGUUUUAUAAGCUUUUUUUUAAUGCAAGAAUAUUCUGUGCUAAUGUAAAUAUCUGAAAGCAAAGAAAAGUUGCUAGGAGUAAUUUAAAAGUUUGGGCUUUUGCAUUGGUUAUGAGUUUGACCUUGAAGGGCAACAAAGUUUGGGCCUAUAAGCUGAAAUUGUGCCAAGCCCAUUUUUAUAAUGACAUAUUGUUAGUACAUUUUUACAAUUAGUCCAUUUCCAUGUUAAUGUAUAAGCUAGCUUAAGUUUUUUGUCUUUCCAUAAUUGAUCCACUUCAUGCUUUUCCGCAAUUAUUCCCUAAUUCAUGACCUUGCAAUAAUCUCAAAGAUUAGGAAAAUAAUUAAAUAUUGUAGUUGCUUUAGGCGCGCUAUUUUAAAUUAAUCUCCUUUAUCUAUCUAAAUUCGGGAGUGCAUUUCAUGUGAACCAAUCUCAAUUCUCAACAACGUUAAAUAAAAUAUUUCGUGGACUGUGGGUGCAUUUCAUGUGGCAUGAUUCAAGAUAUGUUUUAGAUAACGUUCAAUAUUCCUAAAAUUAAUUAAAAGUUGCUAAUAAGUUAAAAAUAUAUUAUAGGCUAAAACAUAUAUUAAAAUCAUAUAAUAUGCCAAUAAUAACAGUUGAGCUACCGUGCUAAAAUCACGAAACUUGAAAAUGCUUAACACCUUCUCUCGGAUUAACAUAAUUCCUUAUCCGAAUUUCUGUUUUCGCAGACCAUAAAUAAAAGUCAAUCUUUCCUCUAUUCGGAAUUUAAACCGGUGACUUGGGACCCCAUAAAUUAUUCCAAGUGGCGACUUUGAUUUUUAAAUAUACAAUCUCGUUUCAAUUGUAACUUAAAUUGAAAAAAUCAUUCUUAUACCCUUACGGGAUAGUAAAAAGGAGGUAUGACACUUAGGUGCCACUAUAAAUAGGAAUUUCCAUAGCCAUUGUGAGAGCACGAAUUUUCUAACAAACAUAUGCUAUAUACUAUUCAGAAGCUCAAUAAACAUUUUAUUUCUUACUUAUUAAUAUUGUUAUUAAUGCCUUUAGAAGCUCCGCUCCCGAAAUCAGGUUGUUCACUAUCUUAUCUCGAUUUCAAUGCUAAAUCUUAUAUUUUUUAUUUAAUUUAUUUAUUAUGUUGGUAUCAAAUUAGAUGGUUUGUCUAUAAACCACGUAUAAAUUUAAUUGUACCCCUUUACGGUCAAAUAAAACAACAAUAAUAACUAUUCAGUAAAAUUCUACUGGUGGGAUCUGGGGAAGGUAGUGUGUACACAAACCUUACCCCUACCCCGAAGAGGUAGAGAUGUUGUUUUCGAAAGACCCUAGACUCAACAGAACAAAACGACAAAAUGAGAUAAUAUUAGUAUCACCGCAUAAAUUAUAGAAAAAAUAGGAACAACAUGAAAUCCAAACGAAAGAUGCAAAGCAAAAGCGAUAGAUAUUAAAUAGGUCUUGUACUGAAAAAUAGCAAGACACAAUAUUGUCACUAGCUAUCUUAGACAAAAACCCUACCACACUAGCCUUACAAAAGUAUUAAGUAGGGUAAUAGUCAACUAUCUUCUAAACUACAACCCUAAUACUCGACAUCUACAACUUCUUAUCAAGUGUCAUGUUCUCGGAAAUCUGAAGACUCGCCAUGUCCUUCCUGAUCACCUCUCCCCAAUACUUCUUAGGCCGCCAUCUACCUCUUCUCGUUCCCUCCACAACCAGCCGCUCACACCUCCUUACCAGGCCAUCUGGGCUUCUCCUUUGAACAUGUCCGAACUAUCUGAGUCUCGCUUCCCGCAUCUUGACAUUAAUGGAAACCACAUGUACCUUCUCUCGAAUAUCACAAUUCCUACUCUUAUCCAUUCUAGUGUGCCCACAAAUCCACCUUAAUAUCCUUAUUUCUGCUAUUUCCAUCUUCUAUAUAUGAGAGUUCUUAAUAGUCCAAUGCUCAACCCCAUACAUCAUGGUCGGUAUAAUCACUGCUUUAUGGAACUUAUCUUUGAGUAUCGGUGGCACUCUCCUGUCACACAUGACUCCAGAUACUAACCUCCACUUCAUCCAUCCUGCCCUUAUACGAUGUAUGACAUACUUGUCGAUCUACCCUCCACCAUCGAUAACUGACCUAAAAUACUUGAACCCGCCUCUACUUGGGAUGACCUAUGAUUCAAGCCCGACACCACACCCACUCCCCUUGGAUCAGCGCUGAACUUACAAUCCAGUUAUUUCCGUCUUCGUCACGCUCAAUUUGAAACCCUUAAAUUCAAGAGCAUGUCUCCAAACCUCCAACCUCUCGUUAACACCAACUUGCGACUCAUCAGUCAGAGCUAUGUCAUCGGCGAAUAGCAUGCACCAUGGUACCUCCCCUUGAAUAUAAUGUGUUAAUGCGUCCAUCACCAAUGCAAAUAAAAACGGAGAUAGUGUAGAACCUUGGUGUAACCCGGCAUGAAUCCGAACUGGUUGUCGGAUAUAGAUAAUGUCAUCCUCACUCUUGCUUCAACCACCCUCUCUCACACUUUAUUGGUAUGACUUAGUAAUUUGAUACACCUAUAAUUGUUACAAGUCUCGAUAUUACCUUUGUUCUUAUAUAAUGGAACCACCGUACUCCACAUCCACUCAUCUGACAUCCUCUCCGCCUUAAAAAUAACAUUAAACAACCUACUCAGUCAUUCCAAACCUGCUCUCCCCACACUCUUCUAAAAUUUUACCAGAAUCUCGUCUCGAAAGGUCGUUCUUCCCCUACUCAUCUUACGCAUAGCUCCCACGACCUCCUAAAUAUUGAUACACUCGCAGUACCCAAAGUCACAGUCACUCUCGAAAUAUUCCAAUUUACCUAGCAAAAUAUCCCAAUUCCCAAAACUCAAUUGGAAAAUAAUAUUACUGCAAGUCAAUCUGUAAAAAUGUUGCAAACCUAAGCCAGACCGAACUUACUAGUUGGAACGUUGACGAAAGUUUUGAUGGUUAGUGUGGGGUCCAGCCCACUUAUUAAGGAAGAAAACUUCUUCCUUGCUUCUUCAUUUUCAAUAUAGGCAGCAUCAGCCCAACGUUUUCUUUGUCUGUUAAAGAAAGUAGGCAGCAGAACAUUGAAAUGUCAAAUUAAGUUGGCAAUGAUUUGCCUAUAAAAUUAGAGCUUUGGCUCUCAUUUUUACACAACCAACAAAGCUAGAAAAAGAGUGAGAUUUCACAGACAGGGUACAAGAAAAUAGUAUGUGAAGAAAAUAGAGAGUGAGCGAUAUUGUAGUGAGGUGGAAUAUCAAAAGAGGGUUAUUUCCUGUGAGGAAAAUAGAGAGUGAGCGAUAUUCUAGUGAGGUGGAAACUCAAAAGAGGGUCAUUUUCUUUUGAGUGUUGUAGUGGUCUUUGGAGUAUUUUACUCGGACCUAUAAAGUGUAAAAUUCCUUACUAUAGUGAUAUCAGUUGCUCCUCUCGGGGUCGUGGUUUUUUCCCCUAUUCAGAAGGGUUUUCCACGUAAAAAUAUUGGUGUCAUUGUUACUCUUUUAUUCUUCUUAAUUACCGUAUCUCGAUGCUACAUUACUAUUCCGUUUUUAUUACCGUGAAUAUUAUUUUGGUAGGAGGUUUAUUUCCAACAACUGGUAUCAUAGCACAGGUUCUGCUCGUUCACUGAAAUAUUAUUCACUAUCGGUAGUACUAUACUCGGCGAAAAUAAAAAUGUCUGGAGUAAAGCACGAGGUAGAAAAAUUCAAUGGAGAUAACAAUUUCUCAACAUGGUCUCAACAUGGCAAGGAAGGAUGAGGGAUAUGCU
rnacentral:lncRNA from 1 species